CCGGCCAAAGAAGAACAAAGGAAGAAAAGAAAGAACAAGAACCCUAGGGUGAAAAUUCAAGAGAAAAAUUGGUGGAUUUCAAGUAAUUAAGCAAUCAAAGGUAAAAUUUCUUGAUUUUGACUUGUUCCAAUGCAUUAUUUUGCAUUUUUCAUAGUUGAAUCACAAGAUAUCAUGAAGGAUUCAUGGUUGACCGAAUUUAGAGAGAGAAGAUUUGAUGGUUGUUUUGGUUAGAUUUUAAGAUAUUCUAGUGUUUUUAGUUAGUGAUGUGUAGCAUGAAAAUCAAACAAGAAAAAUUCAUUUUCUCCCAUAACCCAUCAUUGGCCGAAUUCUCUAUGUAGAAUAUUGAUGAUGAUUUUGAUUUUAUUUCAAGUGAUUUGGUUAAGAAUUAGUGAUUUGUGGUGUGAGAAUCAAGUAGGAAAAAUCAUGGUGUUGAUGCACUCAAAAUGGUUGAAUUUUUCAAGAGAAAAUGUGAGGAUGAUUAUGCCACAUUUCAAGUUAUUUAAAUUGUAUUUAAUGAUUUGGAGUAUUGGGAGAAAAAUGGAGUUAAUUGGAGUUGAAUUUGACAUAUUGGUCAAUUAAUCGAGUGAUAGAUCGAAUUAGGCCAAUACCGAUUUAAUUAGGGACCCAAAUGAAUUUGUGUAGAAUACCGUGUUUAGACGGUAAUCCGAACAAUUUGCAUCCCAUUUCAUACAUUAGUAUAAAGCCUAAAUUGGUUUUCUAACAAUUUAGAACAAUAUAGUAAAUGGCUUAUUGUGCAUUAUGUUUAGGUGGUGAGCAUUCUGGCAAAAGUAAAGAGAUAGUACUCGAGGAAUCAAGAAUCGGAGUACUUGGAAUUCAACUCCCGAAAUAGUGAGUAACCUUACUAUCGUCUUAAUUAUCUAGAGUGGUUUUUAUCCAAUUUUGUGAAUUUCAUGAAAAAUGAAUUAAAUGAUUAAUUUUUUGAUUUUAUAAACAAAAUAUGAUUUAAUAAAAUGAUUUUAAUAAAUUGUCUUGAAAUUGAAUGAUGGUUUGAAAAUAGAGCAAUUAGAGACUAUUUUUGCGUGUUGUAAAUUCAUGAUUCUAAUUGAUUGGCUUAUGACAAUAUUGGCAUGAAUGGCUGAAUUGGUAUUUGUGUUGAAAUGUAUAAACUGUUGUUUGCCUUGAUAGGCUGGAUAAUGAUAAAAUUGCCAUGUCAUGCUGUUGAAUUUUAUUGUAUGGUAGGUUUAGCUUGCUGCAGUGGGCUGGUUCUGUGGACUAGCCUAUUAGAGGGGCACGGAACCUGGUCAUAUUAUUACCUCGGUUGGAGAGGCGAGUAAGGUAACUCCUGAGGUAUAACUUUAGAGUUCACUUCACGCCAAACCACCUUGUGAUGAUGAACUCCGCUAACGCCAAGGAACGACUGUGUUUUUAAAAUAAAAACAUGAUUUAUGCGUACAUAACUUUUUAACAGCCUUGGCGGACUCGGUUAGGAUAGCCCUCGAUCAAGGCAUCCCUAAUAACUGGGUAUAAAAAUGAUUUUUGACACGAGCCAAAGUUUUAAGAAAUUCAUAAGUCAUGUUGAUUACUCGAUUUAUAUAAAUUGAUUUUAUUUGAUUGAAACAAGUUGAAAGGUGAUGAAUUACAGUAUGUUAAAUUAUUUUAUCUAUCUCCAUUUACUCAGCUUUAGAUAUUUUAGAUGGUAUCUGUUUACUCACAAGGAUUAUAUAAUCUCACCACCCUCCUUUCCACCUAUAUCAGGCUCAGGAUAGUCGGUAGAUUGCUCAUUUCGUUGAGCGCUACAGUUGGACUUACAUCCUCAAAAAUAGUAGGUUUACCUCUUUUGAUACUUUUGGUCAUUCGUGGGCCCACGUGUCACUGUAAAUUAAAUUUUAUACUUUGGUUAUCUGUAUUACAAUAUGUAUGAAUUUAUUUAGCUUUUACGCUACAAAAAUUAUUUACAUGUAACUCUAUAAAUAUUGUUUUAGAAGAAAAUAGAAUAUUUUAUUAAAUAUUUUUAUUAUAUCCAAAUAAUCAUAAUUUCAUUUUAAAUGAAGGUUUUAGAUGUUUAAACUUAUUUUUGAUUAUGAAUUAUGAGUUUUAUACUCGCAUACUAAAUUUUUAGUGGAUUUCAAGAUUUUUGAGGAAAAAUGACCAAAAUGCCCUUGUGAGAAAAAAAUUGUUUUUCUAUUGUUUUAAUUUGGAAAAUGUUAUAAUCUCUCAAAACAUAAUUUUAGUGACUAAUAUUCAUAGGGGAAGCGAGAAAAACUGAUGUUAA
rnacentral:lncRNA from 1 species